AUUGAACGCUGGCGGCAUGCCUUACACAUGCAAGUCGAACGGUAACAGGUCUUCGGAUGCUGACGAGUGGCGAACGGGUGAGUAAUACAUCGGAACGUGCCCGAUCGUGGGGGAUAACGAAGCGAAAGCUUUGCUAAUACCGCAUAAGAUCUACGGAUGAAAGCAGGGGACCGCAAGGCCUUGCGCGAACGGAGCGGCCGAUGGCAGAUUAGGUAGUUGGUGGGAUAAAAGCUUACCAAGCCGACGAUCUGGAGCUGGUCUGAGAGGACGACCAGCCACACUGGGACGGAGACACGGCCCAGACUCCUACGGGAGGCAGCAGUGGGGAAUUUUGGACAAUGGGCGAAAGCCUGAUCCAGCCAUGCCGCGUGCAGGAUGAAGGCCUUCGGGUUGUAAACUGCUUUUGUACGGAACGAAAAGACUCUUUCUAAUAAAGAGGGUCCAUGACGGUACCGUAAGAAUAAGCACCGGCUAACUACGUGCCAGCCGCCGCCGUAAAAC
rnacentral:rRNA from 1 species